UGUGUGGGAGGGGAGGUGCGGUGGAGACAGUAGAGGGAGACGGAGAAGGGGAUGCAAUUUCGAGGGGUGGAUUGCACAUGGCUGUGGACAAUAAAGGGAUGAGGGGUUUGAGAUGGGAUGCGAAGCGAAGCAGGUUGACAGAAGAGAGUGAGCACCCGCCGGAGGUAAAUGGCAUGACAGGGUGCUGUUUCCGUUGCGUGCUCAAAUCUCUUGUUGUCAACCUUUCGCUGUUAUUUCUUCUGUGAUCAUACUUGGAAAUACGCUCCCCUCCCCACCCGAGAAGAGAGAGAGGGAGAAAGAGAGUCAUUGAACCUGUCUCACCCACCCCCCGAGGCUGUCUUUUACUUGUGUGUUUCGGCUGCCGCGUUGCGAUGUUUUUGCUUUGCUUCGCCGUCUGUCUUAUCGUAUCUGCCAAUCAGCUCGUCGGAUUUGUGUGGGUGAAGAAGCGCGUGCUUAAUUGCCUCUCUGGUUUUCUCUCUCUCUCUUUUCAUUAAUGCUUAUAUUGCUCUAGAAAUUGGGAAAUUGUAAGAAUAAGCGUGUCUGUUGAAAAGGGAGGUAAGAGAGAGAGAGACAGAGAGAGAGAGAGAAAGAGAGAGGGAGGGAAGAGGGAGUAGUAUUGUCCGUCUCUGUCCUGUUAGUAAUGAAGCCUCUGAGAGAGAGAGAGAGAAUAGAAAGAGUACAGUACUACACAUUGAAGCACGCGGUGCCGCCUCAUCGGAAGGCACUGUUUGACCAAUUCUACUCUCCUUCUCGGUGUUCUCCUAUCUUUUCUGUCGUCCUUCUUGCUUUUGCUUUCCGCUCCUCUACUUUUCUCUUGCCUGUUGCGGAUAGGGUUUGGAGCGUUUCAACAAAACAUGGAUUCAAGCUGUGAGGAUCCGUGGAGUGAAGGUGCUCCCCGAGGUUCAUGCCCACCAUCGUCCAUUCCUGGCCAUCUAACUGUGUUUUCUUUCGUUUGCGCUCGAGACCAUUUCCUCACCCCCUUGAUGGGCUGUUGCUUUGCCAACUUGAACAAAGACUCGCUGCUCCGACGAGCGGAAAGGGGUGAGCUUUGUUGCCCUUCCCCAUGCCUGAUCGAUUCAUCUCUACUAGCUUUUGUGGAAAGAAGCCAAUGAAUCAUCGCUGGUAUCUCUCUGGUGCACUCAAUCUCUCCAUCUAGCUUCUGUUGUUUUUAUCUUUGCUAGGUUGGUGGUGGUGGUCACUUGCCCCUUCGUUGCCGUGGUUUAUAUGCCGCAUCCGUCAUUCGCCCUUCCUCCUCCCACCUCUCCCUCUCUUCAAUCUGGCACGACAUGCCAAAAAGGAAAAAGGGAACAUACCAUAGAGGGUCUUGUGCAUCUGUUGUUUUCCCCCGCUCCACAAGUUGUUCAGAAGAUGGUACUUCCGAUCGUGGUCCACCGUUCAUCAUACACCACUCAUGUGCUUCACCAUUGUUUGUCGAAUGAUUUCUUAGAAAACGAUCGAUCAUUGAAGAAGAUGAAGUAUUUUUAUCCAAAUUCUCCCUCUAAACAUAGAGAGGGUAUUUUCAUAAUUUUGAAUCAUGAUUUUUCAUGUUACAGAAAGAGGAAUCUUAUCAUUGUACAUACAAAGCCUGCCCUUACCAAUUUAGUAUAAUGAACCCACUGCAACAAAUAAUACUUUUAGCAGCGGUUUUUAUUUAUA